CCUACGGGAGGCAGCAGUGGGGAAUAUUGCACAAUGGGCGAAAGCCUGAUGCAGCGACGCCGCGUGAGGGAUGACGGCCUUCGGGUUGUAAACCUCUUUCAGCAGGGAAGAAGCGAAAGUGACGGUACCUGCAGAAGAAGCGCCGGCUAACUACGUGCCAGCAGCCGCGGUAAUACGUAGGGCGCAAGCGUUGUCCGGAAUUAUUGGGCGUAAAGAGCUCGUAGGCGGCUUGUCACGUCGGAUGUGAAAGCCCGAGGCUUAACCUCGGGUCUGCAUUCGAUACGGGCUAGCUAGAGUGUGGUAGGGGAGAUCGGAAUUCCUGGUGUAGCGGUGAAAUGCGCAGAUAUCAGGAGGAACACCGGUGGCGAAGGCGGAUCUCUGGGCCAUUACUGACGCUGAGGAGCGAAAGCGUGGGGAGCGAACAGGAUUAGAUACCCUGGUAGUCCACGCCGUAAACGUUGGGAACUAGGUGUUGGCGACAUUCCACGUCGUCGGUGCCGCAGCUAACGCAUUAAGUUCCCCGCCUGGGGAGUACGGCCGCAAGGCUAAAACUCAAGGAAUUGACGG
rnacentral:rRNA from 1 species